GUAUCAAAUACCCAAAUGGUUCAGUGGUAGAAUGCUCGCCUGCCACGCGGGCGGCCCGGGUUCGAUUCCCGGCCGAUGCA